rnacentral:pre_miRNA from 1 species
CAUAUACUCCCUCCGUUCGGAAUUACUUGUCGCAGAAAUGAAUGUAUCUAGACGUAUUUUAGUUCUAGAUACAUCCAUUUCCGAGACAAGUAAUUCCGAACGGAGGGAGUAUAAG